rnacentral:rRNA from 1 species
GACGAACGCUGGCGGCGUGCCUAAUACAUGCAAGUCGAACGAACCGCGACUAGGUGCUUGCACUUGGUCAAGGCGAGUGGCGAACGGGUGACUAACACGUGGGUAACCUACCUCAUAUUGGGGGAUAACAGUCAUAAACGAUUGCUACUACCGCUUAAUACAUAGGAUCACAUCAUCCGUUGAGGAAAGUUGUCGCAAGCUUUCUCUAAGAGAUGGCCCCGCGGUGCAUUAGCUAGUUGGUAGGGUAUAGGCCUACCAAGGCGAUGAUGCAUAGCCGACCUGAGAGGGUGAUCGGCCACAUUGGGACUGAGACACGGCCCAAACUCCUACGGGAGGCAGCAGUGGGGAAUCUUCCGCAAUGGACGAAAGUCUGACGGAGCAACGCCGCGUGAGUGAAGAAGGUCUUCGGAUCGUAAAGCUCUGUUGUUAGAGAAGAACAAAGGAUAGAGUAACUGUGAUGCUUGUGACGGUAUCUAACCAGAAAGCCACGGCUAACUACGUG